CUAGCACAUAGGGCAGAAGGGUGGUCUGUUGCCAGCUAGGGGCACACAGCACAGACCCAGGACCACUGCCAAACAAUGGCUCAUUGUCUCAAUGGUUUAUUUCCCCUGAAAUCACAGAGUAGGCUGGAAAAAAGAAUUUUGGUCAAUUAGGUUUCUGUUAUGUCUGCAUGACAUUUGGCAGCCAGUUUGAUUCUUUCUUUUCCCCUUUGGAUUUGACCACAUAAAAUAAUUUGGUGUUGCAGGAGCCACAGGACAACAGCACUAUUGGAAAUGUUGGCUCUGGACUAUUGUGCCUGAGAGUCGCGCCUCUCUUAGGGACCAGCUACGAAACCCAGAGAAAAAGAUCCUCUUAUUCCUGCCAGAGAGACCAGCAAAAGACAUUAGAAAUGUCUCUAAAUGUUGAACAAAGCUCCAUUGUGAAUGGGAAACUGAAUGGGCA
rnacentral:lncRNA from 1 species